GCCCCCCCCCCCCCCCCGGGUUUUCUUUAAAAGUUGGGGGCAAAUUUUGCCAAUGAAAAGGGCCCCCCCCCCCGGCUUUUCUUAACAGGUGCGGGCAAAUUCUUUAAAUGGACAGGGCCCCCCCCCGGGCUUUCCUGACAGGUGCGGGCAGAUUCUGUGCAUGGACAGGGCCCCCCCGGGCUGUCUUGACAGGUGCGGGCAGAUUCUUUGCAUGGACAGGGCCCCCCCGGGCUUUCCUGACAGGUGCGGGCAGAUGCUGUACAUGGACAGGGCCCCCCCGGGCUGUCUUGACAGGUGCGGGCAGAUCUGCGCAUGGACAGGGCCCCCCCCCCCGGGCUGUCCUGACAGGUGCGGGCAGAUGCUGUGCAUGGACAGGGCCCCCCCGGGCUGUCCUGACAGGUGCGGGCAGAUGCUGUACAUGGACAGGGCCCCCCCGGGCUGUCCUGACAGGUGCGGGCAGAUGCUGUGCACGGCCAGGGCCCCGUGGCUGCCCGCAGCACAGCUGGACACAGAGGCAGCCGGGGUCAGCUGGGGGCAGGCAGAGGGCAGGACACUGGCUCCAUCUGGGUGGACCACCUCCCCAGAGACCCUCAGCUCCCUCAGGGGUGCUCUGGGAGCUGGGCCCUGUGUGGGAGGAGCCGGGGCCGGGGCGGGUGAGACAAGGCCACCCAGAGGGGCAAGCAAGGGCAUCCAGGCUCAGGGCUGGGCCUAGGAGGACCCUGAGCCGGCCACUCGGGCAGCGUGUGACCGUGCCGGGGGCCGGGUGCUGGCUCCGGCAGCAGUGGGAAGGGACACCUGGCUGGUCCCGUGGAGAAUCCAGCCCGCCCGCGUCUGACCCAGGCCCCGGGGAGGGGCUGGUAGCCCUGGGGCACAGACGGGAGCCACCCAGGCCGCGGGGAGGGGCCGGGCAUGGGCUGAGGGGCCCAGGUGCUCUGAGAAUCCCAGGGCCAGCUCUGUUGGUCAGAACAGUGACCCCGCCUCACCCCCGGCCUGGCUCAUGACCAGUGCCAGGGGGGCAUACUAGCUUUCCCGGGCAGUGACCGGUGCCCUCGCAGGUGAGUGACGGGGACCUGAGGUGGACACCUGCAUGCGCUCACCCCCUCCCGGUGGGCCCUGGGGGUCUUCAGCUGUGGCUGCUCCACAUAGCACACGCCCCUGCGCCCCCACGGCUGGGCCGCUGGUCCUGCUAUUUCUUUAACAUUUAUUUGUUUGAGAGGCAGAGUUACAGACAGAGGGAGAGACAGAGAGAAUCUUCCAUCCGCUGGUUCACUUCCCAGGUGGCUGCAAUGGCCGGGGCUGGGCCAGGAGCCAGGAGCUUCUUCCGGGUCUCCACGUGGGUGCAGGGCCCAAGCACCUGGGCCGUCUGCUGCUGCUUUCCCAGGCCACAGCAGGGAGCUGGGGGGGAGGUGGGUGCUGCAUGCGGGGGCUUCCCUGCCACACCAUGUGGCCUAGCGUGUGGCUCUGGGAGAAUCCGGGCUGCUCUGCCCCUCUACCAGCGACAUGUGUGCUUCUGGCCCCCACGCUCCCCACGUCGCACCCUCAGUGCGACUGACCGCCCAUGUAGCAGCGUGUAACAGGCAUAUGGCAGGUGUGUGGUAGGCAUGUAGCAGGAAUGUGAUAGGUGUGCAGCAAAUGUGGUCGGCGUGUAGCAGGUGUGUAACAUGCAUGUAGGUGCAUGACAGGCACACAGCAAGCAUGUAGCAGGCAUGUAAAAGGCAUGUGUCAGGAGCAUAGUGGGCAUGUGACAGGUGUGCAACAGGCAUGCAGCAGGCAUGUAACAGGCAUGUAUGUGUGUGACAGGUGUGUAACUGGCAUGUAAAAGGCAUGUGUCGGGCAUGUAGCGGGCAUGUGGCAGGCAUGUGGCUGCUGUCCUGUGGUUUCCCACGUGUUCUCCUGGUGGCGUCCUGCUGCGCACCUGUGUGCUCGCUCGUCAGCCAGCACCCUCCUGCUCCGCGCCGUGCUCAGCCUGUUAAAUCUGGUCCCCACCGUCUGGCCUUCUCAUUCUCCCGUGUCUCUAACUCAGACGCCUUCAUUUGGAUGAAGUCCAGUUUGUCCCUUUUCCUUUUGUGGGUCAGGCUCACGGUGUCCACAGACCGUGCUGGCUUCCUCGCGGUGAAACCCACCGCGUGUGAUGUUGACACAGCCACUCGUGUUUUUCCCACGUGUCCGCAUGCGGUGGCUUCUUUAUUUACUUACUUGAAAGGCAGAGUGACAGCGAGGGAGACAGAGACGCCUUUGGUCUGCUGGCUCGCUCCCCUAAUGCCAGGCUGGCACCGGGAGCCAGGAGCCCUGGUGGGGUCCCCACGCGGUGGCUGCCAUCAUGUGGUCCUCCCGGGGACAGCAGCAGGAGCUUGGCUGGGCCGCGUGGAGCUGGAGCGUUGCACCUGCCGGUGCCUCUCCUCUCCUUGCUCCUAGUUUUAUUCUUUUAUAAUUUUUGCUCUGAGACGUCUAACUCAUAAAGAUAACGGCAGGCGUAGGACUUGACCUGCGCGUCUCGCCGUCUACUGGCAGUUUUCUUCCUGGGAAGUCUUCCAGAAAUAAAGGACGAGUGUAUGGAAUGACGCUCA
rnacentral:lncRNA from 1 species